GUGCGUACUUGCAACUGGGGGAUGUGUGCUGAGGCUGUUAGGGAUGCGGGGCAACUCCCCAACUCCGGGGGGCCCUGGUGGGCCCUGCCGCCGCGUCCGAGACCUUCUUAGUCCUCGCAGCGCGCGGCCCGGGGUCGGCGACUUGGGCUUAGGGGCGGCGGGGCGGCGAGAUGCCUUGACCUGGGGUCCCCGAAGCCGGGAGCAAGUCUCGCUUCGGCCCUACUUGCCCUCCUGGGCGAGGCCUGAGUCCUGUCGGGAGCGAUUUGUACCCGUCUGGGGAGUCGAGCCGCCAGGGACGCCCUCGCAAUCGCGGGCACUUGUCCGGGGCGGCGGUGGCGGAGCCCAAGUCCAGCGCCACCGCCGCCAGCGUCCCGUGCGCCGCCAGCCCCGGCCGCCUAACUUCUUCCCGGGACGGAGACAGCGCUCGCGCCCCGGCCGCAGUGGGAGCUCGCUGGGCGGGAUAGGGCGAGGGCGAAUCGGUCCGGUGCGGUGGCGGCGACGAGGGAACAAGUCCGGAGAGGUCAACCUCAGGACAAGGAGCCCCCACCCAGGACCCAGCGCGACCCAGCGGGCGCCGGGGUAGAUGCCUCGCCUUGUGCUGGGGUCCUCACCUCCGGGUUUCACAGCCUGGCGGGACCCUCUGCUCGGUGAGCUUCCCGCUGGACCCCUGGCUCCAGCAGGUCAAGACGCUGAGUGGAAGGCGGGGGUGGCGUUAAGCAGCCCCCUUUCUUUCUCCCAGUGGGCGAUUUCUCUGCUGCCUGGGGCGGGGGCGCCGGGGGCUACCCAGCCCGGAAACUCCCCGCAGAGGAAGGCCAGCCUGGGCCUCGCUCUUCUCAGCGCGCACAUUGCCCCUCACCCCGCUGGGUAGGGGUCUUUCAGCACCUGCCCACGCUGCCUCCAGCCCGAGCUCAGGAGAGCCGCGCUUGUCCUUAGGGCCGCCAGCUGCUCUGGGGGAUCUGCUUCUGCUGUUUGGGCUGACAGCCUCCGCCCCACACCUCCGGAUUCCAGAACAUCGGUCAAGGUGCUCAGGACCAUCUGUGCAGCUUCAGGGUUGCACCUGGCAAGAGAAGACACAAGGCCACCCCAGAGCCAUGCGCCCUGCCCCGGGAAUCAGAGCCCAGAGAGAUGACCCCGGGAACUCUGCUGGCUGAGGGGCUGCUGUGUGCCAGGCCCUGGGGCAGAGGCAUCAUGGACUCAAGCUCAGAGAGGUCAGGAAACUUGCCCGAAGCCACACAGCUGUAAGCGGCGGGGCAGGGCCUGGACGGCAGCGCUGUGUGACCACUGGGUGAAGAAGGCCGAAAGGUCCCAGGUUCUAGUCCACGUCUGUGGACCGGCGUUCAGGAGCGACCUUUCUGCACACGAAGGGCCUGGCUGCAGAAAGGAG
rnacentral:lncRNA from 1 species